rnacentral:rRNA from 1 species
AGAGUUUGAUCCUGGCUCAGGAUGAACGCUAGCGGCAGGCUUAACACAUGCAAGUCGAGGGGCAGCAUGAAGUAGCAAUACUUUGAUGGCGACCGGCGGACGGGUGCGUAACGCGUAUGCAACCUACCUUAAACAGGGGGAUAACACUGAGAAAUUGGUACUAAUACCCCAUAUUAUCCGAGACGGCAUCGUCUUGGGUUGAAAACUCCGGUGGUUUAAGAUGGGCAUGCGUUGUAUUAGCUGGUUGGUGAGGUAACGGCUCACCAAGGCGACGAUACAUAGGGGGACUGAGAGGUCAACCCCCCACAUUGGUACUGAGACACGGACCAAACUCCUACGGGAGGCAGCAGUGAGGAAUAUUGGUCAAUGGACGCAAGUCUGAACCAGCCAUGCCGCGUGCAGGAAGACGGCUCUAUGAGUUGUAAACUGCUUUUGUACGAGGGUAACAGCAUCUACGCGUAGGUGCAUGAAAGUAUCGUACGAAUAAGGAUCGGCUAACUCCGUGCCAGCAGCCGCGGUAAUACGGAGGAUUCAAGCGUUAUCCGGAUUUAUUGGGUUUAAAGGGUGCGUAGGCGGUUUGAUAAGUUAGAGGUGAAAUCCCGGGGCUUAACUCCGGAACUGCCUCUAAUACUGUUAGACUAGAGAGUAGUUGCGGUAGGCGGAAUGUAUGGUGUAGCGGUGAAAUGCUUAGAGAUCAUACAGAACACCGAUUGCGAAGGCAGCUUACCAAACUAUGACUGACGUUGAGGCACGAAAGCGUGGGGAGCAAACAGGAUUAGAUACCCUGGUAGUCCACGCAGUAAACGAUGAUAACUCGUUGUCGGCGAUACACAGUCGGUGACUAAGCGAAAGCGAUAAGUUAUCCACCUGGGGAGUACGUUCGCAAGAAUGAAACUCAAAGGAAUUGACGGGGGCCCGCACAAGCGGAGGAACAUGUG